UCGGGGUCAGCGGCGGACGGGUGAGUAACGCGUAACACCGAGCCUUCCGGUUCGGAAUAACCCUGGGAAACUAGGGCUAAUACCGGAUACGCCCUUAUGGGGAAAGGGAAACUGCCGAAGGAUCGGCCCGCGUCUGAUUAGCUAGUUGGUGGGGUAACGGCCUACCAAGGCGACGAUCAGUAGCUGGUCUGAGAGGAUGAUCAGCCACACUGGGACUGAGACACGGCCCAAACUCCUACGGGAGGCAGCAGUGGGGAAUAUUGGACAAUGGGCGCAAGCCUGAUCCAGCCAUGCCGCGUGAGUGAUGAAGGCCUUAGGGUUGUAAAGCUCUUUUAUCCGGGACGAUAAUGACGGUACCGGAGGAAUAAGCCCCGGUUAACUUCGUGCCAGCAGCCGCGGUAAU
rnacentral:rRNA from 1 species